AGAGGGAGGGAGGGAGAACUUGACCCACACAUACAGUUUCUGCUGUAGUAAGAUGAGCCAGCACAGCGGCCUGUCUGCUGGGAGGAUCCAGCAGGUCAUGUUAAUGUCAACACCGCUGUCACAGCCCCUAAUGUUUACAGCCUUCUUCCUGCCAGCAACCACCCCAACACCAGCGGCAAACUGACUCCUUCCCAAGUCUUCCUCUACUGGCUGUCAUGUCAUGUGUUUGCCUGUGAAAUUACUACAACCCGUACUCCAUUCAACAGCUGCCAGCCUUGUCCUGUCUGUGCAGUCUUCUCAUGGAUGACGGCCACCUUGGAUGGUUUCAUUCAAGGAGACACCUCCACCCUAAGCCAGGGGGGUUUCUAAUGUAGUCAUGCCCAGCAAGUGUGGUAGAACGGCGUGUUUGAUUUGUAAAGAGGCACCAGCCAGGCUAGAGCAGGCGGCGGUGAUAUGAGACGUCUUCUGUGCUAUCGUAUGCGUGGGCAGGGACUCUGUCUGUAUCUGGUGCCAGCCUCUGUUUAUGACUAAUACACAUUAGGGGGAGAUUGCACAGGAGGAAAUCCCGAGGAAGGCUAGUUCAAAACAUUUCAGAGUGCAACAGGCAACAGUGAAACACUUCGAUAAACGUCCUAGUACAGCGGAUCACAGAGAGGGGAGGAGAGGAGGCCAAAGUUCAGCCACUGGAGUGAGAGGGAAGAAACAGUGGUUGUGAAAGCUUGUCACGUUAGGGUGGAACCCUGACAGAAGGGCCUGGUUGUGAGAGUCCACCUCAGGGAGGCAGGGCACAACGUCUACAAGCAGUCGGAAAAGGAAACCAUUAGUGUUGUUUUCUUUAGCUGUAGAUUAAAGCCAGGCAAGAGUGCCGAGUCAUCAUAAGUUCCUGCCUUCAUAGGUGUUUGUAUUGAACCUCAUCUCAGCCACUUCCUUUAAUCUUCAAACGAAGAUGGGGAAAAAAGACAAGUAUUUUGUCGGACAUUCCUCCCAGCUUGAAGUGUACAGUCGGUUCUGACUGGGUGAAAACACAGAGAAUCUGAAAACCGACAGACAACCCCAGGGGAGAUAAACACAGCAGGGACAUUUUGCACACGACUAGGUUGAGGCAUGGCCUGUGUUGGAACCACUGACACUGAAACAGGGUCAAGUUAUUUCAGCUUAAAACAAUAAGGAAAUCAAACUCAACGACACAGUGUACUGUACCUACUGGUAUUAUGGAGAUGGUCGUGUUACUUUGUGACCUCAAAGUUGCUACUCUGCCUCGAGUUGGGAAAGUGAGUUUCAUUAGUUCCUUAAGCAAGACGAAGCAACAAGACUGUUGGUUAAUCUCUCGAGGAUACUCAAAUGGCAUAUUUUAUCACUGAAGCGAAAGAGUAAACAAACCAACAGGAUGUUGUUUAUGCCACCCUGCCUCCACUUCAAAGAGUUCUUUGUGGGACGUGUUCUAAAGAGAGAGAACGCUAACAACAUACCAGAAGUCCAUAAUUAGAUCUACAUACCGUUCUGGAGAGGAAAAAUGUCAUUGUUAUGUGUUCAGGAGAAAUAAACCGUUUUGUAACACAAUA